CAAUGGACCUCCUUUGACCUAUUCUGGGAACAAUUCUUCACUGGAGCCCCAACCCCCAAGAUUCUUACCACUCUGCGUCCUGUGGAACAGGAGCACUGACAUCGCCCAGGAGCCUGUCAGAAAUGCGGAACCUCAAGCUCUAACCUGGACUUACUGAGUCAGAAUCUCCGUGUCAACAAGACCUGCAGGGAGCUCCAGAACCUAGGAAGUGACUAAUGAUAUUGCAUGAGAUAGAUUAACUUAAUUCUUUCAUCAUCAAUUUUUGUUUGUGACUACAUGGUAACAACCAUAAAAAUAGAGACUAAACGUUCAUUGCUUGGAGCGUUCUACUUUCCUGUUGUGCAGCAGGACGAUGCAGCUAUGUUCCAUAAUUUAAAGAAUGCCUAUAUACUCCAUGAGCAUCAUGAUGAUUCAGCAAUUCAACUUUAUGCAACGAAAGCAAAAAGAAGAAAAGUAGAAUAUUCAGAUUCUGACUUAGUAUGGUGCAGCCCAACACUCCCCAACCAAACACACUCAAGCUUUCAACUCAAUAGAGCACCUUAUAAGGAACUACAUAAUAUUGGAAGUAUGUGUUUCAGCACAAUCAGGUACUGUGUUAUCUCGACAGUUUAAGACUUAAAAGAGAAACUCUUUCUUCUUUCUUCUUGCCUGAUUUCCCUUAAACUCUUUCCCCUAGGAAAAGGAUAUUGUUUAUCUUCCCCCAUGUUGAUGACUCCAAUAACCUGUGUUGAAAGUUUGCAGAAUUGCAUUGCCA